GGCACGCUGCAAACUCUAAAAAAAAGUUCACACUAUUUGCAUUCGAAAGUAUUUUAAUUUCUAUAUCACAGCAGAAAAUAUUUUGACUCAAAAGUUUUUUAAGCCUUUAAAGCCAAAUAAACAACAGCUGUUACAAGUGUUUCCCUUACUAGUACUAUUUCAUCAAAAAAAUGAUGUGCCGGUUGGUGGAAUUGUAUUGUUCUUUUUGACUAAUAGGCGAGCUUUUAACCAAAUUUAAGCUAAUUCAUAUCUGGAUAAGUUAAGUGUUGUCUCGUCGACUCUUAUUUACCUUUACAGACGAUUUUAAAUCAAGGUUUCUACAACCUUGCUGACAACGUGCCUAACCCUUGUCUUAUUUCCUUCUCAAAUGAUCUUUUCAUCUAAUUUGGAUUAUCUUCUUCUUAAACUCUUUUCGCCUCUGGUCUUUCUGUCUCCUCUUUAUAUUAUGUAAGGAAAAGUUUUCUUUAUAUAUUAAGGUAAUAAAUAUUAGCAAUUUUAAAUGCUAUCAACAAAAUAGAAUAAAUCUUAGUUAUCUUUAAGGUACUUUAGCAAUGUUGGCACUUUUAGCUGUCUUGUAAACUCUUUUGCUAACCUUAAGGUUGACCUUACAUUAAGUUAUCUCCUAGUUUUGUUUUGUUACAUCCUGUUUAUGUUUCUUACAUUUGCAGAUCACUUCAGUGAUUGAUGUUUUUUUUUGUUCUUUGCUCUAACUGGGCAGGGGUUUUUUCCCCAGUUUGCUAAAUGUUUUUUUUUCUUUUCUUUUUUUGAUCUGAUUGUAUAGUCUCUUUUCAGGUUCGCAGCGAUGCUGCUGUUACUUCGGUUUCCUUACCUGCUCACAAUUGUCAUCUUGCUGUUUGCCAUCGGGCCCCUCACCACUGCUACUUUUCUCAGAAGCUAUGGUUUAAGGAAAGAAAGGACGGAGGCGGUACUGAACCGACACCCUGCUAAAACUGAAAACAGAGUCAGCAGGUCACAACAGGGACUGGAGAUGAACCCCAGAGAUCCUCGCUACAGGGACAAGUUAAUCAGACACCUGACAGGUCCUCUGUAUUUUAGCCCAAAGUGCAGGAAACAGUUUAACAGACUUUAUCACAACACAAGAGACUGUACUGUACCUGCAUACUUUAAACGAUGUGCUCGACUACUGACUCAGCUGGCCAACAGUCCACGCUGCACAGAGAGAUAGACGGUAAGACAUGGUCAUGUGACCAGUCCUUUAAUCGCUAAUGUGAUGGAUUUUGUUUCAUGGAUUUAUUUUUCUUUAUGUUCCCACACCAUUAAUUAGGCAAAUAUGACAGAAGACCAUACCAGAACUAAAAGAAGAAAAAAGCUUCUGAAUGUUGCACUGUGAUCAUGGGCUGUGUGGAGCCUUAAGAGGAAGUCUACAGUUAAUAAACACAGCAUUGGCUGUGAUGUCAUCACCAGCAGCUAAAUAGCAACAGGUGUUUCUGUGUUUUCAGCUUUUUUUUGGCCAUUUUUAUCUGAAAACUUUCCUGAGAGAAAGCUGGACUUGGAUUUUCCUGAUCCUGAACUGAAUGCUUCCUCACUGACUUUUACUUUGUUUCAUAAAAUUUGGUCGCUGUUUAUGUUCAUGACAACCAUCGUCCACUGCAGGAUUUUGUUUUUUGGAAGUUUUCACCAAAAGUUUAAACUGGACAAACUCUUUAAAACCCACAUUGACUGUUUUAAAAUAAAAUAAAAAAGCACAGGAAUAAAAUAUGUUUGUUUAAUUAAUAUGUUAUUUAUUGAUUUUGAAGGAUUCUGCCUGACGGAGGAAAAAAUCUAAACAGGAAGUAAUUGUUGACUGUAACAAAGAUUAAAUUAGCUUUGUUUUGUGGACUGCUCACAC